ensembl:vault_RNA Vault Vault RNA
GCGUUGGCUAGCUCAGGGGUUACUUCUACCAAUCCACGGUUCAACACUCCUGCAGUUUGCAGGAUCGAACCCCGGGCGCUGUCCAGCGUUUUC